rnacentral:antisense_RNA from 1 species
UGUGGGAGCGGGCUUGCCCGCGAUGGCGGUGGGUCAGUCAGCACCUCUGGCGACUGACAGUCUGCUAUCGCGGGCAAGCCCGCUCCCACA